rnacentral:rRNA from 1 species
CAGCAGCCGCGGGAAUACGUAGGGUGCAAGCGUUAAUCAGAAUUACUGGGCGUAAAGCGUGCGCAGGCGGUUAUAUAAGUCAGAUGUGAAAUCCCCGGGCUCAACCUGGGAACUGCAUUUGAGACUGUAUGGCUAGAGUGUGUCAGAGGGGGGUAGAAUUCCACGUGUAGCAGUGAAAUGCGUAGAUAUGUGGAGGAAUACCGAUGGCGAAGGCAGCCCCCUGGGAUAACACUGACGCUCAUGCACGAAAGCGUGGGGAGCAAACAGGAUUAGAUACCCGUGUAGUCCCUGUCUCUUAUAC